rnacentral:rRNA from 1 species
CCUACGGGUGGCAGCAGUAGGGAAUAUUGCUCAAUGGGGGAAACCCUGAAGCAGCAACGCCGCGUGGAGGAUGAAGGUUUUCGGAUUGUAAACUCCUUUUGUUAGAGAAGAUAAUGACGGUAUCUAACGAAUAAUCACCGGCUAACUCCGUGCCAGCAUCCGCGGUAAUACGUAGGGUGCCAGCGUUACUCGGAAUCACUGGGCGUAAAGAGCGCUUAGGCGGGAUAGCAAGUCAGAUGUGAAAUCCUAUGGCUUAACCAUAGAACUGCAUUUGAAACUGUUAUUCUAGAGGAGGGGAGAGGUAGGUGGAAUGAGUGGGGGAGGGGUAAAAUCCGGAGAGAUGAAGAGGAAGAAUCAGUGCGAAGGCGACCUGCUAGAACAUAACUGACGCGGAGGCGCGAAAGCGUGGGGAGCAAACAGGAUUAGAUACCCUAGGAGUC